rnacentral:rRNA from 1 species
GAUGAGCUCCAUGGCUUGAGCACCGUGGAUCUGGAAGCACCAUGGUGGAUCUGGCCGCCGGUUGCCCUGCUGCUCGGUUUGGACCAGAUGCGGCGGCGGCUCUGGAUGGGGAUGCGGGUGCGACGCGGAUGCGGAUGAGCGGGGCGUGCGUCGGAAGUGCAGAUGUUUGGAGUUAUCGAUGGGGAUUGGGUGACAGCAUGAGUACGGGAUUCAGGGGCGGCGGUGCUGCGUCGAGGCCUGGAUGGGGGAUGCAAGGGGCAGCGGGUGAUGCAGGGGAUGGGGCCGGUGGUGCUUGGCGGGGCGGCGAGUAUGGAGGUGAGCCGCGACGGCGCUAGGUGCGGCGGCGUCGACGGCGAGAUGUAGUGCGGCGGCGUCGUUGGCGAGAUGUAG